rnacentral:lncRNA from 1 species
GGGCAGGGCAAAGAUAAGAGCGCGGAAAGCUGGGUAGUGGUUGAUGUUGAUGGAGGCGGGGUACCGAGAGGGAGGCAUUUGUGACCGCAGCUGGUUUGGGGGGCUGGGAUUUUGAAAAAUGGAGCUUCCUUUUUCCUGUUCACCCAACCAUGUGUCCAGUGGCUCAAGUUUCGUGGAGUGAGACCACAUAUCCUUUGGAAGGCUGAUCAGCACUGCACCAGAAACCACUGCAUAAAAUCUGUCAGGAACUCCUGAAGCCCAUUCCCCAUUCCGA